UGGGGAAUUUUGGACAAUGGGCGCAAGCCUGAUCCAGCAAUGCCGCGUGCAGGAUGAAGGCCUUCGGGUUGUAAACUGCUUUUGUACGGAACGAAAAGGCUCUGGUUAAUACCUGGGGCUCAUGACGGUACCGUAAGAAUAAGCACCGGCUAACUACGUGCCAGCAGCCGCGGUAAUACGUAGGGUGCGAGCGUUAAUCGGAAUUACUGGGCGUAAAGCGUGCGCAGGCGGUUAUAUAAGACAGGUGUGAAAUCCCCGGGCUCAACCUGGGACCUGCAUUUGUGACUGUAUAACUAGAGUACGGUAGAGGGGGAUGGAAUUCCGCGUGUAGCAGUGAAAUGCGUAGAUAUGCGGAGGAACACCGAUGGCGAAGGCAAUCCCCUGGACCUGUACUGACGCUCAUGCACGAAAGCGUGGGGAGCAAACA
rnacentral:rRNA from 1 species